UAGGAAAUUGUUAGUGGCAGACGGGUGAGUAAUGCGUAGGAAUCUACCUAGUAGUACGGAAUAGCCAUUAGAAAUGGUGGGUAAUACUGUAUAAUCCCCGAGGGGGAAAGAUUUAUCGCUAUUAGAUGAGCCUACGUUAGAUUAGCUAGUUGGUGAGGUAAUGGCUUACCAAGGCUAUGAUCUAUAGCUGGUCUGAGAGGACGAUCAGCCACACUGGAACUGAGAUACGGUCCAGACUCCUACGGGAGGCAGCAGUGGGGAAUAUUGGACAAUGGGCGAAAGCCUGAUCCAGCUAUGCCG
rnacentral:rRNA from 1 species